GCGGGCAUGGCGGAAUUGGCAGACGCGCUAGGUUGAGGGCCUAGUAGGGGCAACCCUGUGGAGGUUCAAAUCCUCUUGCCCGCA
rnacentral:tRNA from 1 species